GAUGAAGAACGCAGCGAAAUGCGAUAAGUAAUGUGAAUUGCAGAAUUUAGUGAAUCAUCGAAUCUUUGAACGCACAUUGCGCCCCUUGGUAUUCCGAGGGGCAUGCCUGUUCGAGCGUCAUUAUAACCCCUCAAGCUCAGCUUGGUGUUGGGGCCUGCUGCACUGGCAGCCCUUAAAAUCAGUGGCGGCGCCAUCUGGCUCUAAGCGUAGUAAUUCUUCUCGCUAUGGAGUCCUGGUGGAUGCUUGCCAUCAACCCCCAAUUUUUCUAUGGUUGACCUCGGAUCAGGUAGGGAUACCCGCUGAACUUAAGCAUAUCAAUAAGCGGAGGA
rnacentral:misc_RNA from 1 species